UCUCCCGUGUUCCAGACACACUUUGGGCACCACUUUACCCUGGUCCACCUGAAAGUCAACAGAGUCCCUCGAGGGGAAGUGAGAUUUGAUGCGACAAGAGAUACCAGAGAUGGAGACAAGACAGGAUUCUCAUCAAGACUUGUUUAUUCAAGAGAAGAAUCCAGGCAUAAAGUCCCUAACUGCAACACGAAGAAAAGUCAGAAUGUUCAAACCAUGGGAACAAUGCAGCAAUAAAUCCGUGCAGAGUUAGUAAGUGAGAGAUCAGAACAGCAUGAGGAGCCAAACACAACAGGAUGUGCAAAACUGAAUCAGGAAGCAACUCAUAGAGGGAUCUGUCCACGAACUG